rnacentral:rRNA from 1 species
UACGUAGGGUGCAAGCGUUGUCCGGAAUUAUUGGGCGUAAAGAGCUCGUAGGCGGUUUGUCACGUCGGAUGUGAAAUCCCGGGGCUUAACCUCGGGCCUGCAUUCGAUACGGGCUGACUAGAGUUCGGUAGGGGAGACUGGAAUUCCUGGUGUAGCGGUGAAUGCGCAGAUAUCAGGAGGAACACCGGUGGCGAAGGCGGGUCUCUGGGCCGAUACUGACGCUGAGGAGCGAAAGCGUGGGGAGCGAACAGG